AGUGAACGCUGGCGGCAGGCCUAACACAUGCGAGUCGAACGGCAGCACAGUAAGAGCUUGCUCUUACGGGUGGCGAGUGGCGGACGGGUGAGGAAUACAUCGGAAUCUACUUUUUCGUGGGGGAUAACGUAGGGAAACUUACGCUAAUACCGCAUACGACCUACGGGUGAAAGCAGGGGAUCUUCGGACCUUGCGCGAUUGGAUGAGCCGAUGUCGGAUUAGCUAGUUGGCGGGGUAAAGGCCCACCAAGGCGACGAUCCGUAGCUGGUCUGAGAGGAUGAUCAGCCACACUGGAACUGAGACACGGUCCAGACUCCUACGGGAGGCAGCAGUGGGGAAUAUUGGACAAUGGGCGCAAGCCUGAUCCAGCCAUACCGCGUGGGUGAAGAAGGCCUUCGGGUUGUAAAGCCCUUUUGUUGGGAAAGAAAAGCAGCAGGUUAAUACCCCGCUGUUCUGACGGUACCCAAAGAAUAAGCACCGGCUAACUUCGUG
rnacentral:rRNA from 1 species